rnacentral:tmRNA from 2 species
GGGGGCGUAACGGUUUCGACGGGGACGCGUGACGCCGGGUAAGCGAGCCGCAGGCGCCGGAACUGCGAUAAAAGCCGGCAAAAAAAAUAAACGCGAACAAAAACGAAGUCGCACUCGCAGCGUAACGCUGCGACGUUUCGCCCACCUUGCCCACCGGGUGGGGCCGAAACGCCAUUAGGUGGGGCCCUGUUAGGGGGAAAGCUUUGACCCUUUAACAGCCAACGAUGAAGCUACCAAACCCGGGACCCUUUGGGCAGGGGCCCGGGCAAGGGAAUGGAAAAUGCCCAAUGCGCUCGGAGAAAGCCUGGUGGGACGGUUUUCGGACAGGGGUUCGACUCCCCUCGCCUCCACCA